AUGCCAGGUGUACCGGCGGAAUUCGCCGAGCACAAGUUACAUGUCCGACCUGAUGCGAAGCCUGUCAGGCAGCCCUUGCGCCGCCUGUCAGAAGAGAAGAGAAGAGUUGUUGGAGAAGAGAUAGCCCGGCUCCUGGCGGCUGGCUUCAUUAUGGAAGUAUUUUUCCCAGAGUGGUUGGCAAAUCCAGUCCUGGUGUUGACGAAGAACAAGAAGUGGCGGAUGUGUAUUGACUACACAAGCCUCAGCAAAGCCUGCCCGAAGGACCCAUUUGCCCUGCCAAGAAUCGAUCAGGUGAUAGACUCCACAGCCGGAUGCGAGCUGUUGAGUUUCUUAGAUGCGUAUUCAGGAUAUCACUAG
rnacentral:rRNA from 1 species